GGUCGGGUAGUUCAACGGAUUAGAAUAUCAGAUUUCGGCUCUGAUGGUGAGGGUUCGAUUCCUUCCCCGAUCA
rnacentral:tRNA from 2 species